ensembl:snoRNA U3 Small nucleolar RNA U3
AAGACUAUACUUUCAGGGAUCAUUUAUAUAGUUCUUUACUAGAGAAGUUUCUCUGACUGUGUAAAGUACCAGAAACCACAAGGAGAAGACAUAACAUUCUCUACUGAGUGUAAAGCCAGAGAAGCCAGAUCCUGGUGCUGCUUCCCUGCAACUGCCACUUGUCAUUAAUAAUUGUUAUUCUCUCUUCCGGGAGUAGAGGAAGAGAAUGCAGUCUGAGUGAA